rnacentral:rRNA from 1 species
GGCAGGCGGGUGCUAUACAUGCAGUCGAGCGGGGUUGUAGUAGAAGCUUGCUUCUACAUCAACCUAGCGGCGGACGGGUGAGUAACACGUAGGCAACCUGCCCACAAGACAGGGAUAACUACCGGAAACGGUAGCUAAUACCCGAUACAUCCUUUUCCUGCAUGGGAGAAGGAGGAAAGACGGAGCAAUCUGUCACUUGUGGACUGGGCCUUGCGGCGCCAUUAGCUAGUUGGUAGCGUAAAGGCCUACCAAGGCGACGAUGCGUAGCCGACCUGAGAGGGUGAUCGGCCACACUCGCACUGAGACACGGCCCAGACUCCUACGGGAGGCAUGCAGUAGGGAAUCUUCCGCAAUGGGCGAAAGCCUGACGGAGCAACGCCGCGUGAGUGAUGAAGGUUUUCGGAUCGUAAAGCUCUGUUGCCAGGGAAGAACGUCUUGUAGAGUAACUGCUACAAGAGUGACGGUACCUGAGAAGAAAAGCCCCGGCUAACUACGUGCCAGCAGCCGCGGUAAUACGUAGGGGGCAAGCGUUGUCCGGAAUUAUUGGGCGUAAAGCGCGCGCAGGCGGCUCUUUAAGUCUGGUGUUUAAUCCCGAGGCUCAACUUCGGGUCGCACUGGAAACUGGAGAGCUUGAGUGCAGAAGAGGAGAGUGGAAUUCCACGUGUAGCGGUGAAAUGCGUAGAGAUGUGGAGGAACACCAGUGGCGAAGGCGACUCUCUGGGCUGUAACUGACGCUGAGGCGCGAAAGCGUGGGGAGCAAACAGGAUUAGAUACCCUGGGUAGUCCACGCCGUAAACGAUGAAUGCUAGGUGUUAGGGGUUUCGAUACCCUUGGUUGCUCGAAGUUAACACAUUAUAGCAUUCCGCCUGGGGAGUACCGCUCGCAAGACUGCAAACUCAAAGGAACUAGUACGGGGACCACGCACAAGCAGCGGGAGUAUGUCGCUCUAAUUCGAAUGCGAACCCGAAGAAGCCUCACCAAGCCGUGACAUCCCGUCUUGAACGAGACGAGAGAUAGCACCGUUUCUCUUUUCGGGACAGAGGAGACAGAACGAUCGAUGCAGGGACUAGCCGUACAGCAUCCCUGUCCUCGACAUGUUGAAGAAGUUAAGUCCAGAUCAAUAACGAGCGCAUACCCUAUAUGCUUAGUGUGUCCAGCAGGUCAACCUGAAGCACUCAUGAAGCAGACUCGCGCGGUGACAAACCGGAGGAAGGUGAGGAUGACGUCAAAUCUGAGUCAUGCCCCUUAUGACCUGGGCUACACACGUACUACAAUGGCCGGUACAACGGGAAGCGAAAUCGCGAGGUGGAGCCAAUCCUAGAAAAGCCGGUCUCAGUUCGGAUUGUAGGCUGCAACUCGCCUACAUGAAGUCGGAAUUGCUAGUAAUCGCGGAUCAGCAUGCCGCGGUGAAUACGUUCCCGGGUCUUGUACACACCGCCCGUCACACCACGAGAGUUUACAACACCCGAAGUCGGUGGGGUAACCCGCAAGGGAGCCAGCCGCCGAAGGUGGGUAGAAUUGU